UCUUUGCUAGUAUAUCGGUUAGUACACGCGCCUGUCAUGUUAUAUGUUGCGCGCGAAAGCUGGGUUCGACUCCCAGGCAGAGAG